AGGCCUUCGGGUCGUAAAGUUCUGUUGUUAGAGAAGAACAAGUACGAGAGUAACUGCUCGUACCUUGACGGUACCUAACCAGAAAGCCACGGCUAACUACGUGCCAGCAGCCGCGGUAAUACGUAGGUGGCAAGCGUUGUCCGGAAUUAUUGGGCGUAAAGCGCGCGCAGGUGGUUUCUUAAGUCUGAUGUGAAAGCCCACGGCUCAACCGUGGAGGGUCAUUGGAAACUGGGAAACUUGAGUGCAGAAGAGGAAAGUGGAAUUCCACGUGUAGCGGUGAAAUGCGUAGAGAUGUGGAGGAACACCAGUGGCGAAGGCGACUUUCUGGUCUGUAACUGACACUGAGGCGCGAAAGCGUGGGGAGCAAACAGGAUUAGAUACUCUGGUAGUCCACGCCGUAAACGAUGAGUGCUAAGUGUUGGAGGGUUUCCGCCCCUUAGUGCUGCAGCUAACGCAUUAAGCACUCCGCCUGGGGAGUACGGCCGCAAGGCUGAAACUCAAAGGAAUUGACGGGGGCCCGCACAAGCGGUGGAGCAUGUGGUUUAAUUCGAAGCAACGCGAAGAACCUUACCAGGUCUUGACAUCCUCUGACAACUCUAGAGAUAGAGCGUUCCCCUUCGGGGGACAGAGUGACAGGUGGUGCAUGGUUGUCGUCAGCUCGUGUCGUGAGAUGUUGGGUUAAGUCCCGCAACGAGCGCAACCCUUGAUCUUAGUUGCCAG
rnacentral:rRNA from 1 species